rnacentral:Y_RNA from 1 species
GGAUGGUCCAAAGAUAGUGAGUUAUUUCAAUUGAUUGUUCACAGUCAGUUUUCUUGUUUUACUCUUUUCCCCAUUCUCACCACUGCACUUGACUAGUCUAAA